CCUACGGGAGGCAGCAGUGAGGAAUAUUGGUCAAUGGACGCAAGUCUGAACCAGCCAUGCCGCGUGCAGGAAGACGGCCCUAUGAGUUGUAAACUGCUUUUGUACGAGGGUAAACGCAGACACGCGUAUCUGUCUGCAAGUAUCGUACGAAUAAGGACCGGCUAAUUCCGUGCCAGCAGCCGCGGUAAUACGGAGGGUUCAAGCGUUAUCCGGAUUUAUUGGGUUUAAAGGGGGCGUAGGCGGUCGGAUAAGUUAGAGGUGAAAUCCCGAGGCUCAACUUCGGAAUUGCCUCGGAUACUGUUCGGCUAGAGAGUGGUUGCGGUAGGCGGAAUGUGUGGUGUAGCGGUGAAAUGCUUAGAGAUCAUACAGAACACCGGUUGCGAAGGCAGCUUACCGAGCUACUUCUGACGUUGAGGCACGAAAGCGUGGGGAGCAAACAGGAUUAGAUACCCGUGUAGUC
rnacentral:rRNA from 1 species